rnacentral:rRNA from 1 species
GCACGGAGUUAGCCGGCGCUUAUUCUCCCGGUACUGUCAUUAUCAUCCCGGGUAAAAGAGCUUUACAACCCUAAGGCCUUCAUCACUCACGCGGCAUUGCUGGAUCAGGCUUUCGCCCAUUGUCCAAUAUUCCCCA